ACAUCGAAAAGGCAAAGCCAUUGAAAAAUGGGGACGCAAAACUAUCAGGGGCUAAAGUCAAUAAGACUAUGCCAGCCAGUUACCGAA
rnacentral:ncRNA from 1 species